rnacentral:rRNA from 1 species
AUUGAGAACAACGUACAACUCUUAUCGAUAAGCCAUUGGAGGGCAAGUCUGGUGCCAGCAGCCGCGGUAAUUCCAGCUCCAAUAGCGUAUAUUAACGUUGUUGCAGUUAAAAAGCUCGUAGUUGAAGUGAGGGAGUGUGUGUUCAUGAGAGCUAGUCUCGAGUGUUCACAACCUCCCCCCUCCAAUCGGUGUAGUGGGGUAUUCAGUUAUUCCACUACUCCUUUGGUCGUUUACUGUGAGAAAAUUAGAGUGUUCAAAGCGGGCGUUUGUUUGAAUAGAUUAGCAUGGAAUAAUGAUUGAAGGCUUUCGUGUUCGAUUUGAUUGGUUUGUUCAUGGAAGCAAGGUUAAAAGGAACAGUUGGGGGUAUUCAUAUUCACUAGUUAGAGGUGAAAUUCUCGGAUUUAUGGAAGAUGAACAAGUGCGAAAGCA